UAGCGCAUUGGUAGCUACGAACCAAGGGCGGUAGCGUG
rnacentral:ncRNA from 1 species